rnacentral:misc_RNA from 1 species
UUGCAAACAAGAUGAAAGGAAAACUAGAAUCCUCAGAACGCCAGAAGCUCAUUGAAGAAGGAAAGAAUCUGAAGGAAGAACUUGUUACUUUGGAAGAAAACCUGCUAAAACUUACAGAUGAACUGCAGCAAGAAGCACAAUCCAUACCUAAUAUGACACAUCCAGAUGUUCCAUUAGGAGGGGAAGAUUCUUCAACAGUCAGGAAAAUGGUUGGUAAGCCUGCUGAGUUUAGCUUUGCUAUUAAGGACCAUGUCCAGCUGGGA